GUGCUUGCUCUGGCAGCACAUAUACUAAAAUUGGAACAAUACAGAGAAAGAUUAGCAUGGCCCCCGCACAAGGAUGACACACAAAUUCUCAAAUUCGUGAAGUGUUC
ensembl:snRNA U6 U6 spliceosomal RNA